UAUCUGAAAUCAAGCAGGACCACCCGCUGAACUUAAGCAUAUCACUAAGCGGAGGAGAAGAAAUUAACUAAGAUUGCCUCAGNAACGGCGAGUGAAGCGGCAAAAGCCCAAAAUGUAAAUCCUGUGCACUACGUGUACACGGANUUGUAAUCUAUAGAGAGUUCACUCACCGCAGNGGUGGCGCAGAAGUGACCACGAACGGNUCCGCCAAAGAGGGNGACAGCCCCGUGAUG
rnacentral:rRNA from 1 species